GUGGCUUCCAACUGGUGACACUGAAGGAAAGAACUCGGCUUUGGGGACACCCACAUAUCAGAGUGAUCAUCGCCCUCCUCCUGCCUGAGUUCACAUAAGUCACCGAGAGCUGCUAUUCAGCAAAAAGGUCAAUGACUAAUCCAGCUUGGAAAAGAAAUUUCUCUCUACCAUGGCAUCUUUGGUCUCAGUAAAUUCAGGCAGAAAUGCUUUGGCAGGACAUUGAAGGAAAGAAGCCGUGCCAGAAUAUACAUCCUCAGCCCACUGAACUAACAGAAGGCAAGCAGCCCUCCCUCUGCUCGCUGCCCGUCACUCUUCCACCAUCAGUCAAAGGCACAGCCAAGGGAAACAGCUUGAUUACCACCACAUGGCUAUCAACUUCCCUGCAGGAGAGUAGGCAUUGAAAGUGAUUUCUUUCAACUUGGCUGUUUAUCUUCAAAGAAAUCACAGGAUUUCAAAACAGCAUUGGGGCACCUGGCUCACAGCCAUCAGCCAAUUUACUGAAUGAAUUAAUAAAUAGCAACAUAUGAUCCUGACUCAUCAAUGCAGAGAGAAAGAAAUGUAAUUUGGGUAAGAGAAAGAAAAUAAUAACUUCCUUUUAAUGAGCAAGAAUCUGACUUUUAAAAAUGGAAAGGAAAUAGUAGAAAAGUAAGAGAAGAUAAUCACCCCAGAGCUCUUUUUUUAUUCAACUACCUAUAUAAACACACACACAAACACACAUCUAUAU